GGCUCAAGUCAUGGCAGUAAAUUUGUGUCUAUACUCUGCCACUUUACUUUUGGCCUCAAGUCAUUGCGGUAAAGUGGCAGAGUGUAGACACAAAUUUAGGCCUUCUGACUCC
ensembl:miRNA